GCACUCCGUCGAGCCCCCGCGCAGCCGUGCCGGAGCCGCAGGGCCUCCGUCCAGCCGCGCGGUCCGGGCAGCCCGCGCCCCCUGUUCUUCCGGUCCUCGGGCCCAGGUACCCCUCUGGACCUCCCCCGCCUGCAGCGCGGAGGCGGCUCCUCUUCAGGUGGCCGGGCCGGGGCCUUCCCCGGCAGACCUGUCACCCGACACCCAGGAAGCGCGCGGCCGGGUCCCGGCUCCCCUUUGUUCCCCCGCUGGGCUCGGCGCUCCGGCGCCGCCCCCUCUCGCGGGGCAGCGGAGGUUUGGGCCCGGGCCGGGCGCGCUUCAAGCUCCGUCCAUGCGGCUCUUUCCAAACCGGGGCCGUUUUUGCCUGGCUUCUCUGGUGUGGACUCCGCGCGGAGCUGAGAGGCGGCUGUGCGCCCAGCCUGGAGCCGGCGCAGGCAAGGUGCGGCGGCGCCUCCCAGGUUUGCGCCCGUCUUCGCAAAGCUCCUGAGGGCGAAAAUCCUGCGAGCCAGGUGGCGGAUUCUCGGGCCGGGUCACUCAGCUCUACGGGUGCGCAUCACCCUCUACCUGUCACCCAGUGAGCCCGACCGAUGGGCACCGAGUCGGCGGAUCUCUGAUCCGAGGCCGAGCCUUCGGAGAAAUCUGUCCUAGUGGCCUCAUCGUGGCCUGAGCGAACGCAAAGGAACCUGCCCCAAGCCCAGCUCUCAGCCUCGACCCCCACAUUCCCCGCGCGGCUCUCGGUUCGGACCUGGGCUCGGAGCGGCAGCCUCCACCACUGCUCGUUUCUUUACCGCUCAAGGCCGCCCCUUCAUGCUCCUGCGGGGGAGUUAGCGGGACCUCUGGAGUCGGCCUUACGCAAAGAAGAGAAAAUUCUAGGAUGCCGGCCUCACUUGUGAGGAUUUCGUUUAUUCUUUUUCUCCUACCGGGGCCCAGUGGCUCUUGGAGUGAGCUCCGCACCCCAGACACCUGAGUAUUUAUUUAAUGGGUCGGUGGCGGCCUGGGCUUCGGGGAAAGGAGCUCUGGGCCCCUCUCCCAGCACCUCAUGGGGACACAGGAUGACAGGCGCAGCGUCCAGGGCAUGCCCGUUCAAGGGCCCCAGCAGCCUCUAGCCCCUGGGACCUCAGGGGCAUUUGAUAGAGACUGGAGGGAUCAGGACCAGACCGGUUGUGGGUGGCGCGGCUGGGACCCUGGACUCCAGAUUCGUUGUGUAGAGGUGGAGAGGAGAGCCAGGAGUCGAGCGGUAGGCUAUGUGCUGUCUAAGGACCCCGGAGUACCCAUAGCCCAGAGUCCUGCAACACUCACCUCUAACACUGGAAGGGGUUGGGGGCCUGCCCUUUGCAUUGGGCACCAGUGCCCAGGAAGGGACACCCCUAGGGGAAAGGGGACUCGAGUUUUAAGAAGGCCCAAGUAGAGUUCAGGAGGGUGGGGCUGAGAGCGACCGAAGGUGGGAGGGGGCGCUUUGUGGAGACCUCCUAGGAUGUGUAGGACCCCCACACACCCUGUGAGUCCCUGGCUGCCCAGCCUGGCCUGCAAGUUGCAUCUCUUUUGGUCCUCUUCCAUUGCCAGGCGCUGACGCCCAGCGGGUGUGGGAGACCUUGUCUUCAUCUUCCCACUCCAGAAGCGGAUUUCUGUGCCUUUGAUCUCAAGGUCAGGGCUGUGUCCUGCAGGGAGGGCAGAAGAGGCUGCUAUCCUGACCUGCGCCAAGCCAUAGGCCUCUGUUUUCCCUUUUGAGAUUCCGAGUGGGGAUUCUGCUGCUGAUGUCGGAGAGCUCCUCUUACCCGCUUUUCGAGAGAGCUGGGAGACCUUGCUUCCCUAGGGCCCAGGCCCCAGCCUCCCUCCACCAGGAUGGAGAGGCCCCAGCGGGCGUGGCACCCCCCAGGCACUGCGGCACUUGGGCUUCCUGUCGCAUUUGGGUUAGGAGGGGUGAGGCAGGCGCAGGGGAGGAACCUGGCCCAGCCGACUAGAACUGGAAGUGGAGAGGGAUUUGGCUUUGCGAGCUGCUCCCUGUAUUCCAUCCUAUGUCAGUUACAAAGAUGAGGAAAACAGACCAAGGAGCUCGACAGAGAUGCCACAAUUUGAAGGAGCGUACGUGUUUGGCUGCUUUGUUACAGGGCUCUCUCCUCUACCUGGGGUCCCUUUUAUUCCUUCCUGGGCUGGGGAGAGCAGAAUCCCUGGCUCCAUCUGUUCUCCAGCUCUAAGGCCUCUGUGGCUCCUUGGUUGCAAGGUGC
rnacentral:lncRNA from 1 species